ensembl:lncRNA
GUGAAAAACAACAAGUUGCGAGGAAAAGAAACUGACAGGAGACAAAGUGAACAAUAUAAGUUAUAUCUGGAUUAUUAUGAGCUGUUUGAACGUUCAGAACCGGUGAUUAUGAGCUGCGUGGCCGUGAAGCCUCCUUCGGGUGGAAGGUGGAAGGUGGACGUGAUCCGCCAGCUGAAGCGACGGGACCAGAGGCAGCACGAAGCGUUCAGCGACCUGAUCCGGCACUGGUCCCAUCAGGCCCGGAGUCCUUGUCUCAGAACGAUCGCCUGAAGACGAUGACCGGAGAGUUGGCGUGCCAGGUGGUGGCUCUUCAGCAGGAGUUGAACAUCAAGCAGAAGGUUCUGGAGGAGCAGCAAAGCAGGUACUGUCUCUCCUCCUCCUCCUCCUCCUCCUCCUCC